AUGCAAUGGAAAUUAUAAAAUUACAUGUUAGGCUAAACCCACCAACAGAGAGAGGUGACUGGCUAAUAUUUUUUCCAGGUUCUGUUUGGGUUAACACAGCAACAUGGCAAUCAGCAAAGGAACUCAUGCACUACGAACAAAUGGUUUCUCCGUAUAAAAUACAGAAUCCACAAAAGAGGAAAGAAGGAGAGAGGGAUGAAGAGAGGGAGGAACAGAAGAUGAGAAGAAAGAGGGCUAGUUUCCAGUUGGGGGACAUUUUCCCUUGCAGGGUGGCUAAAUAUGGGCAUGCAUUUGCAUGAAAUAUUGUAACGAUUCUUUUCGUCACAGAUGGUCUUCAUUCACCUACGACAACAGAAUGGAUUUAAAACCACCGCCUUAGUAAAACCCAAGGGCUUUAUCAGGGAAAGGUGCGGUAGACGGUAAAGCUUAGCCACAAAUGUCUCCCAUCCCAGCAUAUACACCUGUUUGCAAUGUGACUUCCCCACUCCAAGUUUCUGGAAGUGGAAAUCUCCAGCUUUUAAAGCUGCGCCUGGCCAUGUGACUUGCUUGGACCAAUGGGGUCCAACCAGAGGCUUGAGCCUUGCUCGUACACCCGGGCCUGCUGUUCUGGGGGCAGAGUGGCCCUGAGAACGAGCCUGAGCGAGCCUCCUGGAGAUCUGAGACCACAAGGAGAAAGGAGCCCGCCUUUCCCGGCCGAGGCCUCAGCCCCAGGAGCGAAGCCAGUCUGGGCCAGAAGGAAGGCCUGGCCAACACACAGAACGACUCUGACAUUUAAGGUGGAGCAUCUACCAAGCACCUGUUGACAUGUGGCCAGGAGAGACCCAGGGGAUUUGACCCAGGAGGAGUCAGGCUCUGAGACUGGUCCAUUCCUGCUCCAGGGAUCCAGGGACCUGGGAGGCAGCUGAGUAUAGACCACACCUGACACCUUCAGCAACGAUGCUGCUCUUACCUCCGUUUCACUGGAGACCAUGUGGCUCAGAAGCACAGGAACGGUCACACAGCCCAGACCCGCUCUUGAGCCCAAUAGCACCCGGCCCACGGCUGGUGGUUAAAGGCCAGGAAGGCAGCCCAGCGUCCUCACACUCCUGUGCAAAAGGGCCAAGGUAGGUCUCCUGCCCCCCACGGGCUGGACACAGAGGAUGGUCUGCACGGAAGGUGGGAGGGGGGUGGCAUCUCGGCAAACGUCACCACUGCCCCCUGCCAGAAAUGUCAGAGAGAUGAUCUUCUCAAGCAGGAAAGGCAAAGCACAAACAAGCUUCAGAAUGUGCCAGACUUACACUGUAAUUAAGAAAAGAGGAGCGGAUAAAGAGGAUGUGGUACAUAUACACAAUGGAAUAUUACUCAGCCAUUAAGAGGAAAGAACGAACGGCAUUGCAGUAACAUGGAUGGACCUAGAAAUUAUCAUGCUAAGUGAAGUUAGUCAGGCAGUGAGACACCAACAUCAAAUGCUAUCACUUCAUGUGAAAUCUUAAAAAGGGACAUGAUGAACUUCUAUGCAGAACAGAUACGGACUCACAGACUUACGGUUUCCAAAGGGGAGAGGUGAGGGGUGGGGGGAUGCACUGGGGGUUUGGGAUGGAAAUGCUAUAAAAUUGGGUUGUGGUGAUUGUUGUACAAGUAUAAAUGUAAUAAAAUUCAUUGAGUAACUAAAAAAAAAAAAAGAAAAGCAGGCUUGGUUGAGCAGCAAAGGGCAGUCACUGAAUAUGAGAAGUUGUCACUGGGAAUUUCCCUUGUGGCUCAGUGGAAAUGAGUCCAACUAGCAUCCAUGAGGACCUGGGUUCGACCCCUGGCCUUGCUCAGCGGGUUAUGGAUCUGACGUGGCCGUGAGCUAUGGUGUA